rnacentral:tRNA from 2 species
GCCACCUUAGCUCAGUCGGUAGAGCAGCGCAUUCGUAAUGCGCGGGUCGUGGGUUCGAGUCCCAUGGGUGGCU